GACGAACGCUGGCGGCGUGCUUAACACAUGCAAGUCGAACGGAAAGGCCCUGCUUUUGUGGGGUGCUCGAGUGGCGAACGGGUGAGUAACACGUGAGUAACCUGCCCUUGACUUUGGGAUAACUUCAGGAAACUGGGGCUAAUACCGGAUAGGAGCUCCUGCUGCAUGGUGGGGGUUGGAAAGUUUCGGCGGUUGGGGAUGGACUCGCGGCUUAUCAGCCUGUUGGUGGGGUAGUGGCUUACCAAGGCUUUGACGGGUAGCCGGCCUGAGAGGGAGACCGGCCACAUUGGGACUGAGAUACGGCCCAGACUCCUACGGGAGGCAGCAGUGGGGAAUAUUGCACAAUGGGCGGAAGCCUGAUGCAGCAACGCCGCGUGCGGGAUGACGGCCUUCGGGUUGUAAACCGCUUUCGCCUGUGACGAAGCGUGAGUGACGGUAAUGGGUAAAGAAGCACCGGCUAACUACGUG
rnacentral:rRNA from 1 species